rnacentral:rRNA from 1 species
AACGAACGCUGGCGGCAGGCUUAACACAUGCAAGUCGAACGCAUCGCAAGAUGAGUGGCAGACGGGUGAGUAACGCGUGGGAAUCUACCUAGUUCUACGGAACAACAGUUGGAAACGACUGCUAAUACCGUAUACGCCCUACGGGGGGAAGAUUUAUCGGAAUUAGAUGAGCCCGCGUAAGAUUAGCUAGUUGGUGGGGUAAUGGCCUACCAAGGCGACGAUCUUUAGCUGGUCUGAGAGGAUGAUCAGCCACACUGGGACUGAGACACGGCCCAGACUCCUACGGGAGGCAGCAGUGGGGAAUAUUGGACAAUGGGCGCAAGCCUGAUCCAGCCAUGCCGCGUGAGUGAUGAAGGCCUUAGGGUUGUAAAGCUCUUUCACCGAUGAAGAUAAUGACGGUAGUCGGAGAAGAAGCCCCGGCUAACUUCGUGCCAGCCGCCGCCGUAACAC